AAAAGACUUAUAUUUUAUAUUUAGGAACGGAGGGAGUACAUCGAUGGCGAUCGACGAACGCCGCCGCCACCAGCUCCUUGUUUCACCCGCCUCCCUCUACGUCGGUUGGAUCGAUCCCGUGUCUCUCCAUGACCUAGUGUCCACCACUGACUUUGAUUCUGCACCCUGGUCCCUCCUGACCUUGGCCUAGGGCGAGAUCUGGUGCGCCACCUAUGCAGUUGCCGUUGCAGAGAGGGGGAGAGAGAGAGGGGAGGAGAGGGAGAUGGAGGAGGUGGCGCGAACGGGACAACCCCCAUGUAUGCGUGCCAGGCGCGGGCGAUGUAUGUGGUCUCGCCGGCGGGUGUGGCCAAGCUCAACCUCGCGCUGGAGUUGUUCUUUCUUCUACCCCCAAUGUCUUUUACGAUCUUCAGGUAGUUCUCACCAUCAACAUCACAAGGGACAAGUAUAAUGCAAUCUGAAGUCGAUAAUGUUUUUUAUUGUCGGGUAUGGGGUAGAAGAAUCAAACACGUGUUCGACUCCAUCUAGAACCUCAAAGAGCUCUAUGACGGUGGUGCAGACCGUCCCUUGCAGCGUAAUAAAAACGUGCUACAGCAACCCCCCUCUACGACGAUGCGAUCAUGCCUCUAACCUCGACUGAAUUGUAGAAGCGCGCUGGUGGCACCCUUGCCCCUCACUUAUGCUUCAGGAGCUCGCCACUUACCAUUGCUCUAUGAAGACUCAGUAACAAUGAACAGGUAGCAGGUCCUGGGAUUCACCAGAUCCACAAUGUGCGUGGUUGUAGGGGCAUCUAUGCACAGAUAGAAUAUAUGGACCUCGAGUGCAAGAAAGGCAUCACCAUCCAAUCGAAUGCUACCUUUUGUACCUAGAAUGGUACCAGGUCCAUUUUUCUCCUUUUUUUCACUCAUUUGCAAUUAAUCCAUUUAGCUCUCUUUGGUUGGUUGUUAAUGAAAAUAAUGGGAGAUUGGGUUAUCAUACAAUGAUAUGAUACAUUUGCUUGUGAGAGAAUGAUCUAUUACCUCAUGCCUUUCCACUGUUUUGGAGCUAACUGUAACUCAGUUUCGUUAAUUAGUGUGACAAGAUAGCUUUUUUUGGGUGUUUCUUUCACAAAUUAGUAGCACAUAUGGUUUCUUUCAUAGAAGCUUAAUUGGUCGAUGGGUGCAUCAACUGCCUUUACUAAAUCCCAAAAAAUAAUCUUGAGAAUUUUAUAAAAGAUCCAACCUUAUUUGUAACCAACUAGCAAAGUUUAUGUUCUCCUGGAUAUACUAGCUUUAACUAAUAAAUAGUCUGUAAGUACGUCUAAGUGAUAUAUAUUCGCCGGGAGUUUAAAUAUUAAAACUAAGUUGAUUGAUAAUAUUUAUCACAGGACAAUCGUUUGUUGUCGUACUUAUUAUUUAUUAUCCGCAAGAGUCCUUACUGGACCUUUCAAUUUUGUGUUCCACUCGGUACUGAAAGUUUGUUUAAUGUUGCAUUGAGAUAUUGAAUCAGACCUUUUGUUUAGAGUAUUGGAGUCGUAUAUUGAUGUCUGUAGCUUUUGGUGCCUACACCUCACCAAGAUGCUUGUGCCAGCGGCCCGGGGGUGACACACAUGAAUGGUAGGUGUAGCCAUGUUUCGUCAUCUUCUUCGCAUGCUAGCUCAAACCUUAAGUGUGCUGAGAUCCAUACCCUGCCCCGCUGGUUGUUACAUUGGUAUUCUUCAUUGGCCUCUCAGGAGCUUGAUUUGUGACUUUCCUGACCAAAGAAUGUAGUAAAGCCUUUUAUAUGGAAGAGCUAACCUUCUCAACAUGUACUCAAUCAAGAUUCACACCCACAUAAUACUUUUAUGUAUCUUAACUUUACCUUAUAUUUGUGGAUGACAUUUUUCUCCAAUAGGUUUCAGUGAUAAGAAAACAUUUAUUGAUUUAUCACCGUUGUUGUUGUUGUUCGUUCGCAAGGGAGAAGUGCUGACCUCCCACUUCACUACAUGUCCGUUACUUCUUAUGUUCUUGGUAUCAUAAAAUUGUUAAAUUCAUGAAUUAUAAAUUUGUAGGUACCCUCACGCCCACCGUCAUGGUUCAAGCUUAGUUAAUAUGGAACUUGGUUGCGUUGAUUUUAUAAGGAAAGAUGGUGUAUGGGUUGGUGAGAAGACCCGGAUCAAGUAUAUGCUUUUGUAUCAAGGGAUCAUAGCCUCGUACCUACCAUAAGUUGUGAUCAGCUCUACAUACCUGCAAUGUUAUCUCGUGACGUUUUUGUGGCAAGAAGCUCAACAUAACACAUAUGUUUGAAAGUUGAAUGUUGAUCCUAAAUAAAAAUAUCAGGAAAAUUCUUAUACUACAAAUGUAUACAAUAUAUUGUUUUCAUGAUUUAUGUCCAGCAAGUGUUAAGAUUCUACAAGUCA